AACUAACGCUGGCGGCAGGUCUUAGACAUGCAAGUCAAACGGCGUAGCAAUACGCAGUGGCGCACGGGUGAGUAACGCGUGGGAAUAUGCCCAUUGGUGGGGAAUAACAGUUGGAAACGACUGCUAAUACCGCAUAAGUCCGCUAAGCAAUUAGUGGAGAAAGGCGCAAGUCGCCGAUGGAUUAGCCCGCGUUGGAUUAGCUAGUUGGUAGGGUAAUGGCCUACCAAGGCAGUGAUCCAUAGCUGGUCUGAGAGGACGAUCAGCCACACUGGAACUGAGACACGGUCCAGACUCCUACGGGAGGCAGCAGUUAAGAAUAUUGGACAAUGGGGGAAACCCUGAUCCAGCCAUGCCGCGUGAGUGAAGAAGGCCUUCGGGUUGUAAAGCUCUUUUAAUCGUGACGAUGAUGACGGUAGCGAUAGAAAAAGCACCGGCUAACUUCGUGCCAGCCGCCGCCGUAA
rnacentral:rRNA from 1 species